CGGUGGAGCAUGUGGUUCAAUUCGAAGCAACGCGCAGAACCUUACCAGCCCUUGACAUGCCACGACGGUUUCCAGAGAUGAUCCCCGCGUGAACAGGUGUGACGAGCGCAACCCUCGCCCUUAGUUGCCAUCGGGAUGUCAAGUCUCAUGGCCCUUACGGGCUGGCUACAUACAUGGCGGUGACAAGGGAUGCUACUCUGCAAGGAGAAGCGUCCCAAAAAGCCGUCUCAGUUCGGAUCGUCCUGCAGCUCGAGGGCGUGAAGCUGGAAUCGCUAGUAAUCGGGAUCAGCACGCCACGGUGAAUACGUUCCCGGGCCUUGUACACACCGCCGUCACACCAUGGGAGUUGGUUUUACCCGAAGACGGUGCGCUAACCCGCAAGGGAAGCAGCCGGCCACGUAGGGUCAGCGACUGGGGUGAAGUCUUACAAGGU
rnacentral:rRNA from 1 species